UACGAAGGUGGCAAGCGUUACUCGGAAUUACUAGGCGUAAAGGGCAGGUAGGUGGUUUGGUAAGUCUAUUGUGAAAGCUCCCGGCUUAACUGGGAGAGGUCAAUGGAUACUGCCGAACUUGAGUAUAGGAGAGGUUACUGGAAUUCCCGGUGUAGCGGUGAAAUGCGCAGAGAUCGGGAGGAACACCGGUGGCGAAGGCGGGUCUCUGGGCCGAUACUGACGCUGAGGAGCGAAAGCGUGGGGAGCGAACAGG
rnacentral:rRNA from 1 species